rnacentral:rRNA from 1 species
AUUGAACGCUGGCGGCGUGCUUAACACAUGCAAGUCGAGCGAGAAGACGUAGCAAUACGUUUGUAAAGCGGCGAACGGGUGAGGAAUACAUGGGGUAACCUACCCUCGAGUGGGGAAGUAACUAGCCGAAAGGUUAGCUAAUACCGCGUACGCUUCUUGGACUUCGGUUCAGGGAGGAAAGCGAUGCCGAGGGUAUCGCGCUCUUGGAUGGGCUCAUGUCCUAUCAGCUUGUUGGGAGGUACGGCUCACCAAGGCUUCGACGGGUAGCUGGUCUGAGGAGGACGAUCAGCCACACUGGCAC